CCCAGUCCUCCAGGACUCUCUCUGGUGCCAGCAUCUGCGUCACAGGCUUUGGAAGUUUCUCCGGCCAGACAAGGUAGACAAGGGAGGAGUAACCCUGGACGUUCCCUGCAAGACCUGGUUGUUUUCAGGGACCAGCUCUAUUUGGGCUUCUUUCUGAGGCUUUCUAUGGGAGAGGGGAGCAUGACAAAUAUAUGGCGUGAUAUUUCCCAGCUGAGAGCCUGAUCUAGUCUCAUUUUCUUUUAAAAUAGGAUCGGAAGAUUGAAACCUUAACUCUGAGCCAUUGGCUGGAAGGACAAGGUUGUGUAGGCCUUUUUUUUUUUUUUUUUUUUUUUUUGACUCAAAGGACAGUAAAUGAACAAGGAGAAGUUGAGGGGGACCAGCCGCAGAGACCCUGGCCUGGAAGAAUCUUCUUCAUUUUGAUUCUGGGAAGGUUGGAAGGUUCUGAGGAGAGCCUUCAGAAGGGAGGAAUGCUGUGCCCCAAUUAUGCCCGGAAGCAGAGUACAGAAAGCCCACCUUGAAGAUUACCCUGCAUUCCCUUAGGAGAUUCUGACCCCUGUCUUCCCACAGAUUCCAGAGCAUCUGGGCCAUCAGAGUGCCACCCCUAUGGAUUAGACGAUUGCUCGGUCUGUGUUCAGAUACCAUCCGGGACCACCUUCCCAGCAAUGGCACUGUUCCCUUCCACAUCAAUCAUCAUCCGGAAAAAAAAAAAGUCCCCCAGGCUUGCUUGCCUAUGAGCCAAUCUUACAGUGACAUUUUCUCAAUUGAGGUUCUCUCUUCUGAGAUGAGUCUAGAUCUGUGUCAAGUUGACAAAAACCAACCUGCACACAUUCAUUUCUAAUAAAUGAAAUCUCAUGCUCCCAGAACAUGAACGUGGGUGUUCAUGGAAACUAUUUCUAAAAUGCUAUGCUGGAAACAAACCAAAUGUCCAUCCGUGGGAAAAUUGUGAAAUGAAGUGUGGCACAUCUGUGCUACAGAUUCAGGUGAUAAAGGUAUCUAUAAAAAAAAAA